rnacentral:rRNA from 1 species
GACGAACGCUGGCGGCGUGCUUAACACAUGCAAGUCGAACGGAAAGGCCCUGCCUUUGUGGGGUGCUCGAGUGGCGAACGGGUGAGUAACACGUGAGUAACCUGCCCUUGACUUUGGGAUAACUUCAGGAAACUGGGGCUAAUACCGGCUAGGAGCUCCUGCUGCAUGGUGGGGGUUGGAUAGUUUCGGCGGUUGGGGAUGGACUCGCGGCUUAUCAGCUUGAUGGUGGGGUAGUGGCUUACCAAGGCUUUGACGGGUAGCCGGCCUGGGAGGGUGACCGGCCACAUUGGGACUGAGAUACGGCACAGACCCGUACGGGAGGCAACAGUGGGGAAGAGAACACAGGGGGCUGAAGCCUGAUGCAGCAACGCCGCGUGCGGGAUGAGGGGCUGCGGUUUGUAAACCGCUUCCGCUUGACACGAAGCGUGAGUGACGGUAAUGGGUAAAUAAGCACCGGCUAACUACGUG